UUGGGAAUAUUGGACAAUGGAGGAAACUCUGAUCCAGUGACGCCGCGUGAAGGAAGAAGGUCUUCGGAUUGUAAACUUAUUUUGUCAGGGAAGAAUAAUGACUGUACCUGAAGAAGAAGGACCGGCAAACUACGUGCCAGCAGCCGCGGUAAUACGUAGGGUCCAAGCGUUAUCCGGAUUUACUGGGUGUAAAGGGCGAGUAGACGGCCAAGCAAGUCAGAUGUGAAAACUCAGAGCUCAACUUUGAGACUGCAUCUGAAACUGUUUGGCUAGAGUACAGAAGAGGUAAGUGGAAUUCCUAGUGUAGCGGUGAAAUGCGUAGAUAUUAGGAGGAACACCAGUGGCGAAGGCGACUUACUGGGCUGUAACUGACGUUGAGGCGCGAAAGUGUGGGGAGCAAACA
rnacentral:rRNA from 1 species